CACACCGCCCGUCACAUCACGAAAGUCUGCUGUACCGGAAGCCGGUGGGCUAACCCGCAAGGGAGGCAACUGUCCAUGGUAUGGUCGGCGAUUGGGUG
rnacentral:rRNA from 1 species